rnacentral:rRNA from 1 species
UACGAAGGGGGCUAGCGUUGCUCGGAAUCACUGGGCGUAAAGCGCACGUAGGCGGAUUGCUAAGUCAGGGGUGAAAUCCUGGAGCUCAACUCCAGAACUGCCUUUGAUACUGGCGACCUUGAGUCCGGGGAGAGGUGAGUGGAACUGCGAGUGUAGAGGUGAAAUUCGUAGAUAUUCGCAAGAACACCAGUGGCGAAGGCGGCUCACUGGCCCGGUACUGACGCUGAGGUGCGAAAGCGUGGGGAGCAAACAGGG